rnacentral:rRNA from 1 species
GCUUACGGCCAUACCACCUUAGGCACGCCCGAUCUCGUCUGAUCUUGGAAGCUAAGCAGGGUCGGGCCUGGUUAGUCCUUGGAUGGGUGACCGCCUGGGAAUACCAGGUGCUAUAAGCA